ensembl:lncRNA
CCCGCCCUCGCGCGCUUCCGGGUCAGUUGGGAGCGUGGUGGGGCGGCUGGCGAGCGGCAGUCGCUGCCCUAGGCGGGUUUCCCCUCAGAACGAGUGAGUGACAGAAACGGAUGCCCGGCGCUUCCAGCUAAGAAUCACUCCGCCCAGCUUCCACUUCCCACCACUGGCUCCGCUCGCCGGCAGCUGCCUCGGCCCCGCACCCGCAGCCUGGCUGGCCCUCCCCAUACCCAGAGCUGCACAGCCGCCAGCUUCCCAGAAAGCCAGAAACCGAGGGCCCCCUUCGCCGUGACUGGACGUGCUUGGCUUCUGGAAUUUUCCUACAAGCUCUGAUGUGUCCAGCUUGCACCCGCGCUUCCCCAGUGGCUGCUGACUCUCGCGUCCCUCCCUCCUGCUUCCAGACUUUCGCUUCCCCAGCUCUUCCCAAGCCCUACAAGGCUGAUUCCUAGAAUGCUUACCCUGGCCCUACUCGCUUAUCCAAAUCCUGAGCCACCCAAGGCCUACAGAUUUCGCUUCAUUUUAAAUGAAAACUAGCGCAAGAAGACACUCGUUCUGGAUUGGAGAGAAUAGCUGUGGAAUAACAGGACUGGAGGAGGACAGCAACAGGCUGUAAUGAAAGAGAUUUCAGUCCAUGGUCACUUGGACUUGUUGCUCUAGGCCUGCAGCGACACAGUACAUCAUGACUAAAGUACGUGGCAGAGGAGGCCUGUUCACAUCACUACAGCCAGGAAGCAAAAAGAAGCCAGCCAAAGCAAGCAGAAGCCAGACAGAUGGAGAGCAGGGCAGAGCAGAACAGAGAGUGGAUCCAAAGGGACAACAUAAGUAACCUAGCACCACCCAAGUGACCAGGAUUUUCUUCACCAUUUGAACCCAGCUGUUCACCUCAUCUUACGGUUUAAUGUUCAUGAGCCUUGGAGUGCUGUCAUACAAGCAAAGGAAAAAUCUUUAACCUGGAAAUUUUGCUAACAUGUUCACCAAAGGAACACCCGUGCAGAUAACAUGAAAC